AAAAAAAAAAAAAAAUACAAAGGUAAACGUGAGUUCUCUGUGGAAAUAGUCUUGGUAUGCAGAAACAAAGUCAAUGUUCCAAAGACACGUUUUUUUUUACAAGUCAAAAAAAAAAAAAAAGAAAACUUACCAGAGAGAUCGCUAGUCCUAGACAGUUUCAGAGGAGGUGUAUAAUCCUCUUCGUCUGUAGAAUACAGGUAUAGAAGAGGAUCUGGGGUAUUUCGCAAGCGUUGGAGUCCCGACGUCGAUGGUUGGGGGUCAUCAACGUCGCUGAACGAUAGGUCCCGAACAGCAGAAGACAUCCUAGGCUUGCGGCCGCGGCGUACAGAAAGUUGUCUUGACAUAUUCAAGGUCAGCUUCUUCCAUCCAAGUGAUUACCUUCCCCUCUGGGUCGCCUUUUAUUGCGAUUUUUCAGAGGCAUUAGCCAAUCAGAUUCGCCAUGUCGUGUCACGUGAGUCACGUGAGAAAGUCACGUGAUAACUAUGGCUGAACUACUCUACUGGCAAUUAUUGUCAACCAAAAGAUCUAGAAAAUCACGUAAAACACGCCCAUGCAGAAACGUACACACGUAUACACACGUACAUGCUCUCUCUCUCUCUCUCUCACACACACACACACACACACACACACACGCACGCACAUUCUCUCUCUCUCUCUCUCUCUCUCUGUCACAGUGGGGACGGGUGUCAUGGCGGUCUCUUUCUCUCUCUCUCUCUCUCUCUCUCUCCUCUCUCUCUCUCUCUCUCUUCGCUCUCUCAUUCUCACACACACAAAGUACAGUAGGGACGUGCGUCAUGGUAGAACACUUGCUGAGUGACCUCAGGUCAGGUUUCAGAGGCAAAAAAAUAAAGAAAUUACUAAAUAACAUUUCAAAAACAGGGAUUCCUCGGUGACCGUCCUCUCCCCGUCAACGCACGAGUCCCUUACACACUUUUACAUACACUCACACACUUAUCUCCUUUCACAUUCUGCCACACAACUUACUUCUUCCUUUUUCAAAUAGUUACCGCAAUGACCGUCCUCUCCCGUCACCGUACGAGUCCCUUACACACUUUUACACACACUCACCCCCUUUCACAUACUGCCACACAACUUACUUCUCCCUUUUUCAAAUACUGCAAUGACCGUCUUCUCCCGUCACCGUACGAGUACCUUACACACUUUUACACACACUCACCCCCUUUCACAUGCUGCCACACAACUUACUUCUCCCUUUCAAAUACUUACUGCAAUGACCAUCCUCUCCCAGACUCUGAUUUACCCAUUCAUUUGUAUUCAUACACAAAAGACCGGGCACAGUUUUCAACACGUUUCCACAUAUAUGCAAAAAAA